rnacentral:precursor_RNA from 15 species
AUGGCCCUCAUUUUUCUUAAGGUCUCUUCUUAGUCUGAUAUUCCAUGUUUCUAGGGUAUCAAGAGACUUGGAGCAUAGAAUGUCAGGUCUAGAAGUUACCUUAACGUAUCAGUGGAUGAUAG